GACGGAGGGGGCGAGCGUUGUUCGGAAUUAUUGGGCGUAAAGGGCUUGUAGGCGGACAGGUUAGUCUGGCGUGAAAUCUCCACCGCUCACCGGGGAGGGGCCGCUGGAAACUGCCUGUCUGGAGUUCGGUAGAGGGUCAUGGAAUUCCGCAUGUAGCGGUGGAAUGCGUAGAUAUGCGGAAGAACACCUGUGGCGAAGGCGGUGGCCUGGGCCGAAACUGACGCUGAGGAGCGAAAGCCAGGGGAGCAAACGGGAUUAGAUACCCCGGUAGUCCUGGCCGUAAACGUUGGAUACUAGGUGUGGGAGGUAUCGACCCCUCCUGUGCCGCAGCUAACGCAUUAAGUAUCCCGCCUGGGGAGUACGGCCGCAAGGUUGAA
rnacentral:rRNA from 1 species